GGCAGCAUGGUGUAUCGAAGCACACGGGGUCACUAUGAAAGCAUAUGCGAGGACUUUCACCCCGAGGUCCUUGUUCGAGCCAAGGUGCUGCUC